rfam:Biomphalaria glabrata isolate BB02 unplaced genomic scaffold LGTN_random_Scaffold2906, whole genome shotgun sequence.
UGGCUGAGCAGUAAAGCACUUGGCUUCUGAACUGGGUGUCCCAGGUUCAAAUCCUGG